rnacentral:rRNA from 1 species
UACGAAGGGGGCUAGCGUUGCUCGGAAUCACUGGGCGUAAAGGGUGCGUAGGCGGGGCUUUAAGUCAGGGGUGAAAUCCUGGAGCUCAACUCCAGAACUGCCUUUGAUACUGGGGAUCUCGAGUCCGGGAGAGGUGAGUGGAACUGCGAGUGUAGAGGUGAAAUUCGUAGAUAUUCGCAAGAACACCAGUGGCGAAGGCGGCUCACUGGCCCGGAACUGACGCUGAGGUGCGAAAGCGUGGGGAGCAAACAGG